rnacentral:rRNA from 1 species
GAUGAACGCUGGCGGCGUGCCUAAUACAUGCAAGUCGAGCGAACGGACGAGAAGCUUGCUUCUCUGAUGUUAGCGGCGGACGGGUGAGUAACACGUGGAUAACCUACCUAUAAGACUGGGAUAACUUCGGGAAACCGGAGCUAAUACCGGAUAAUAUUUUGAACCGCAUGGUUCAAAAGUGAAAGACGGUCUUGCUGUCACUUAUAGAUGGAUCCGCGCUGCAUUAGCUAGUUGGUAAGGUAACGGCUUACCAAGGCAACGAUGCAUAGCCGACCUGAGAGGGUGAUCGGCCGCACUGGAACUGAGACACGGUCCAGACUCCUAAGGGAGGCAGCAGUAGGGAAUCUUCCGCAAUGGGCGAAAGCCUGACGGAGCAAGGCCGCGUGAGUGAUGAAGGUCUUCGGAUCGUAAAACUCUGUUAUUAGGGAAGAACAUAUGUGUAAGUAACUGUGCACAUCGUGACGGUACCUAAUCAGAAAGCCACGGCUAACUACGUG